GGUCCCCGACGUCCCCAACCCCCCUUGGGAGCAGAAAACAAAAGCUUCUAAAGGAAAUGCCCAUAAUAGAACAGCGCACACAGAGAGCACCGGAGCGCUCCCGAGACACUCGGAUGCUGUAAUGAAUUUAUGUUCAUUAGUGAUUCUUUUUUUCUUCGUUUCACUCUCCUCUCGUUUUGUUCGAUCUGAUCCAUAGAGAAGCGUUUGGGUGUCCUUUUCUUGUCGUCUGUCCGGACGCUCGUUAUGCGCUCGAAGUAGCAUAACCUCAAACCGGCACCGCUCGUUCCCGGGACCCAUCGGGGCUGACCACACAGGGCGGCAAGUCCGGCGAGCGAUUUUCCGUCCGCCGGUUAGCGCAUAGUGUCUGCAACAACACCGUGUCCAGCCAUACGUCGAUAGUCCAUAAAUUACCCUUCAUUUGCAUAAAUAAUUAACGGAUAUUGGAAGGCAGAAUUUAUCGCAUUCUUCCUUGGUGUGUGUGUGUGUGGAUGUGUCUGUGUUUGUGUGCUGUAUUGUGGGGGGGGAUCGAGAUCCCCGGGUGCCACUUUUACGGUGGCUCCUGGAUUUUAGCUCCGGAGCCGGUAAUCUGCUGAUGGGAUGAUGUGCAAGGGCAAGCACAUGCCAGUGCGCUACCAACAGAGACACAACAUAUUGUCCCGUGUCCAGUGUGCUGGCAAGGGAACAUUACUGAGAAGGGAGGAGCAUGCGGAGGAUUAUGCUUGAAAGAAAUCAUCCCACAUUGUCUGGGCUGUGGUUUGGUGGUGUCACUGGAAUUGGUGAUGACAUCGAUGAAAGAUAGCUUUUCCAGUGUUUCUUAAGUUAUGGGGUACUAAACAGUGAUGACAACACUCAUCAAAAAGUAACAAAACAUCGUUUAACUUUCACUUUAACUUAGAAGAUUGAUAAGCAAUGAGAAUGUGAGACAAAAAGUAGAGAAAAUCGAGGAAGAACAAAUGGCUUAUAAAAUAAAAUAAACAAAGUAAAAGAAAUGCAAAACUUUUUCAUGAAGUGCAAAAGAACAUAAAAAAACAUCAAUAAAAUCUAUAAAAAAUAAAAGUAAGAAAAAACACAUGCAACAUAAAUAAGGAAACGAAAAAGAUCAGCAAAUAAUCAGAAAAUACUGAAUUAAAGAAAUAAUUUUAUUUAACAAAUAAAAAAUAAAAUUAAAUAAAAACAAACGCAUUCCGAGCCACUGCUCCAAUCGGCAAUCGAAUGUCAGCUUUGUGUCAGCUGAUUUGCCCAGUUGGACUGCUGCUGUUGGACCAGCAGUGCAGUGCGUAUAGACAAUCCGGCCGGACGGGAACGGAAUCGACGGCCUCGCCGGACGCCGAUUGGCAGGCGAGAAGAUUCGAUUUGCAAGUAAGACACUCGGGAGGAACUCUUUCGGUCUUGGUUCGCGGAAUGGAUGCAUCUAUGAGGACUUGAAUGGUAUAGGAACUGGUGCCAAGCAUUAACACCUUGCCGGAAUCGAUGGGUCGGUCACAAC